rnacentral:sRNA from 1 species
UCCCAUCUACCUUACCGGUCACGAUGA